CUUUCAUUUAUUUCUUAAUUCUUUGUUGGUUCCUAUCUUUUUAUUUCUGCAGAAGUUCAAAUAUAUGAGGGUUUUGAAUUUUGAUCACCAUGGGCUUUUAACACAGAUACCUGACGUAUCUGGUCUCGUAAAUUUAGAAGAAUUUUCCUUUCAAGGUUGUGUGAAUUUAAUCACAGUCCAUGACUCCAUUGGGUUGCUAGGUAGACUUAAAACCUUAAGAGUUAUGUGUUGCAUCAAGCUCAGGAGUAUUCCACCUCUCAACUUGGCUUCUCUAGAAGAACUUGAUCUUUCAGAGUGUUCAUGUCUUGAGAGUUUUCCACCAGUGGUGGAUGGGUUGGCGGAUAAACUUAAAACAAUGAGUGUUAGAAGAUGCUUAAAUCUAAGGAGUAUUCCACCUCUUAAGUUGACUUCUUUAGAAAAAUUCGAUCUUUCGCAAUGUUUUAGUCUCGAGAAUUUUCCACUUGUGUUGGAUGGGUUUCUUGGAAAUCUCAAAACCCUGCUUGUUGAAAGUUGUCACAAACUCACAAUCUCAUAAGUAUUCCACCUCUCAAGUUGGAUUCGCUAGAAGAACUUGACCUUUCAUAUUGUUAUAAUCUUGAUGGCUUUCCAGAUGUUGUGGAUGGGUUGUUGGAUAAACUUGAAUUCUUGAGUAUUAAACAUUGUGUCAUGAUUAGGAGUAUUCCACCGCUCAGCUGGUUGACUUCGUUGAAAUUGUUUGAUCUUUCAUAUUGUCUAAGUCUGGAGAGUUUUCCAGAAAUAUUGGGAGAGAUGAGAAAUGUAACAAACCUUAACUUGGAAUAUACUCCCAUAAAAGAAUUGCCGUUUCCAUUUCAAAAUCUUACUCUGCCUAAAAUAUAUCCAUGUAACUGUGGAUUUGUUUCCUUACCAACUAGUAAUUAUGCGAUGUCAAAACUGGUGGAAUGUACCAUCCAGGCUGAACAAAAAGUGAUCCCGAUCCAAUCUUUACACGUAGAAUAUAUUUGUCUUAGAAAUUGAAAAGUUCCAGAUGAGUACUUGUCAAUAGGUCUCAUGUUGUUUGCUAAUGUGAAAGAAUUACACCUAAAUGAAAGUCAAUUCACGUUUCUUCCUAAAUCUUUCGAAAAAUGUCAUUUUUUAUGGAGGCCUGUCUUGGAUAAUUGUAAGGAACUUCAGGAAAUUAAAGGGAUUCCACCAUGCUUAAAAUCAUUAUCUGCUUUUAACUGCAAAUCGCUGUCUUCGUCAUGCAAAAGCAAAUUACUAAGUCAGGAAUUGCAUGAGGCAGGAAACACUCGGUUCCGUUUGCCAUGAGCAAAGAUUCCAGAGUGAUUCGACCACCAAGGCUUGGCAGGAUUGUCAAUUUCAUUCUGGUUCCGUAACAAGUUUCCUGCCAUAGUUCUUUGUGUUGUUUCUCCAUAGUCAUGGCUAGAUGAUAAUCAUCAACCUACAAGAGUGGUCAUCAAUGGAUAUACAUUUGUCUAUAAAUGUGGUGAGAUUCUACCUAUGUCACUGCGGGAAACGUAUCAUUUACAUCUUUUUCAUAUGCAAACUGAAAAAUUCAAUGAUGAUAUGGACAAAGCACUUUUAGAAAAUAAGUGGAACCAUGCAGAGGUUGACUUUGGAUUCCCAUUCCAGAAUGUGGAAUCCAUGUAUUGAAAGAGAAAAGUAACAUGAAUGAUAUUCGAUUCACCAACCCAGAGAAUGAUGCUAAUAUUGAGUUCACUCUUUAAAAACACAACUCUGAGUUAUUGGUCUCAGGAAUUGAUUCUUUUGUGGAAAAUCGGGGAUGUAAUGAACUCUACCAAUCAUGAGACUUCACCAUAUAAUUGUAGUAUUCCUGCAUACAAUGAUAACACAUUUACAUCGUGUUCACUUGGGAUGUUGAAGAAGGAGGAGCCUGAAGAAUAGAUUUAUUUUUUUUCAGAGAUAUCUUGAAGGAUUUAGACCUCACUUGUCUGCAUACACAGAGGUUGUCAAUUCUUGAUGGAACUUAUUCAGGUUCAGUGGCAUAAGUAUCGGUUAUUGAUUUCACAAAUCUCUUGUUCUUCUCAAGAAUGAUGUUGUUGUGCUUUAAUCACGAAAACACUGACUGGCACAAUGUGAUUUCACUGACUGAAAAAAGGAUAUAGUAUACCAAGCUUUGUAGAGUAUGAGAUGAGAUACUUGUAUUGUAUAUAUACAUCCUUACUUUUUGUUUCUGGUACAAUAUUCCGAGUUAUUUUUAACCA